CUACACUGCUAUUGUAAUGCAGAUUAAACUGCAUUAUAUGGUAAGUGUAGGUCUCAUCUACACUACACUACCAUAUAAUCCAGUUUCUGAAUCUAGAUUAUCUGCUUUGAACUGAAUUAUAUAAGUCUAUACUGCCAUAUAACCCAAUUCAAAACAGAUAAUUUGGAUUCAGAAACUAGAUUAUAUGGCAGUGUAGAUCCAGCCGUAGACUCAUAUAACACAGUUUAACUACAUUGAACUCGAUUAUAUGUGUCAACUCUGACCAUAUAAUGCAGUUCAGUCUGCAUUAUGAUGACAGCAUAGAUGUGGCAUUAAAAAACCUUAUGAAAUUGAUAUUGUAAAUCAGUGGCAACUUGAAGGCACAUACAGACAGUCCUUGCUAGAAUAAUUACACUAAAUCAAUGAUUACAAGAGCAGACUCAUUGAAUUACCAAGUCUACAAUGAUUCAAUGGGUCUGUGCUAGUUGGCAUUAACAGCUAGAUUUUGGGCAUUAAGUACCAAAACAAAAAUACUACUGCAGUAAAGGAUCCUCUCUCCUCUGUAGGAGUCUACCGUAUACCAUGCAGCUGUGGACAAGUCUACAUAGGGACCACCAAACGCAGCAUUGCCCAAACACGAGUCAAAGAACAUGAAAGGCACUGCAGACUAAUUCAACCAGAGAAAUCAGCCAUAGCAGAGCACUUGAUGAACCAACCUGGACACAGCAUUUCUGUGUUCUCAAAUAAUAUGCUGUGUCCAGGUUGGUCCAUCAAGUGCUCUGCUAUGGCUCACUUCUCUGGUUGAAUUAGUCUGCAGUGCCUUUCAUGUUCCUUGAUUCGAGCCUGGGCAAUGCUGCGUUUGGUGAUCCCUAUGUAGACUUGUCCACAGCUGCAUGGUAUAGGGUAGACUCCUGCAGAGGAGAGAGGAUCCCUCUUUUCCUUUGCUGAACUGCAUGUCCCAAUUGUUGAUUGGAUUUGCGGAUUAUUAGGAUAUCUAGAAAUUGCAGUUUUCCUUCGUUUUCCUUUUCCAUGGUUAAUUGGGUGUUUGGGUGGAU
rnacentral:lncRNA from 1 species